GACGAACGCUGGCGGCGUGCUUAACACAUGCAAGUCGAACGGAAAGGCCCUGCUUUUGUGGGGUGCUCGAGUGGCGAACGGGUGAGUAACACGUGAGUAACCUGCCCUUGACUUUGGGAUAACUUCAGGAAACUGGGGCUAAUACCGGAUAGGAGCUCCUGCUGCAUGGUGGGGGUUGGAAAGUUUCGGCGGUUGGGGAUGGACUCGCGGCUUAUCAGCUUGUUGGUGGGGUAGUGGCUUACCAAGGCUUUGACGGGUAGCCGGCCUGAGAGGGUGACCGGCCACAUUGGGACUGAGAUACGACCCAGACUCCUACGGGAGGCAGCAGUGGGGAAUAUUGCACAAUGGGCGGAAGCCUGAUGCAGCAACGCCGCGUGCGGGAUGACGGCCUUCGGGUUGUAAACCGCUUUCGCCUGUGACGAAGCGUGAGUGACGGUAAUGGGUAAAGAAGCACCGGCUAACUACGUG
rnacentral:rRNA from 1 species